UACGGAGGAUCCAAGCGUUCUCCGGAUUUAUUGGGUUUAAAGGGUGCGUAGGCGGCCAGUUAAGUCAGGGGCGAAAGACGGUAGCUCAACUAUCGCAGUGCCUUUGAUACUGAUUGGCUUGAAUGUACUUGAGGUAGGCGGAAUGUGACAAGUAGCGGUGAAAUGCGUAGAUAUGUCACAGAACACCAAUUGCGAAGGCAGCUUACUAAAGUAUGAUUGACGCUGAGGCGCGAAAGCGUGGGGAUCAAACAGG
rnacentral:rRNA from 1 species